GAUGAAGAACGUAGCGAAAUGCGAUACGUAAUGUGAAUUGCAAAUUCAGUGAAUCAUCGAGUCUUUGAACGCACAUUGCGCCCCCUGGUAUUCCGGGGGGCAUGCCUGUCCGAGCGUCAUUGCUGCCCUCAAGCACGGCUUGUGUGUUGGGCCCCGUCCUCCGAUCCCGGGGGACGGGCCCGAAAGGCAGCGGCGGCACCGCGUCCGGUCCUCGAGCGUAUGGGGCUUUGUCACCCGCUCUGUAGGCCCGGCCGGCGCUUGCCGAUCAACCCAAAUUUUUAUCCAGGUUGACCUCGUAUCAGGUAGGGAUACCCGCUGAACUUAAGCAUAUCAAUAAGCGGAGGA
rnacentral:misc_RNA from 1 species